GUCUAAGGCCAUAAGACCCUGAACUCGCCUGAUCUCAUCUGAUCUUGGAAGCUAAGCAGGGUUAGGCCUAGUUAGUACUUGGAUGGAAUAAGUACUUAUUUUCUACC
rnacentral:rRNA from 1 species